rnacentral:rRNA from 1 species
UACGUAGGGUGCGAGCGUUAAUCGGAAUUACUGGGCGUAAAGCGUGUGCAGGCGGUUCGUUGUGUCGGCGGUGAAAGCCCCGGGCUCAACCUGGGAAUGGCCGUUGAAACUGGCGAACUGGAGUGUGGCAGAGGGGGGUGGAAUUCCGCGUGUAGCAGUGAAAUGCGUAGAGAUGCGGAGGAACACCGAUGGCGAAGGCAGCCCCCUGGGCUGACACUGACGCUCAGGCACGAAAGCGUGGGGAGCAAACAGG